rnacentral:tRNA from 1 species
AUUAGAUUGUCAGAGUAAUGAGUCAAAUUUAGGAUUUGAAAAGGGUUUCAUCUAAUU